CGGCAGCACAGGAGAGCUUGCUCUCUGGGUGGCGAGUGGCGGACGGGUGAGGAAUACAUCGGAAUCUACUCUGUCGUGGGGGAUAACGUAGGGAAACUUACGCUAAUACCGCAUACGACCUACGGGUGAAAGCAGGGGAUCUUCGGGCCUUGCGCGAUUGAAUGAGCCGAUGUCGGAUUAGCUAGUUGGCGGGGUAAAGGCCCACCAAGGCGACGAUCCGUAGCUGGUCUGAGAGGAUGAUCAGCCACACUGGAACUGAGACACGGUCCAGACUCCUACGGGAGGCAGCAGUGGGGAAUAUUGGACAAUGGGCGCAAGCCUGAUCCAGCCAUACCGCGUGGGUGAAGAAGGCCUUCGGGUUGUAAAGCCCUUUUGUUGGGAAAGAAAUCCAGCUGGCUAAUACCCGGUUGGGAUGACGGUACCCAAAGAAUAAGCACCGGCUAACUUCGUGCCAGCAGCCGCGGUAAUACGAAGGGUGCAAGCGUUACUCGGAAUUACUGGGCGUAAAGCGUGCGUAGGUGGUCGUUUAAGUCCGUUGUGAAAGCCCUGGGCUCAACCUGGGAACUGCAGUGGAUACUGGACGACUAGAGUGUGGUAGAGGGUAGCGGAAUUCCUGGUGUAGCAGUGAAAUGCGUAGAGAUCAGGAGGAACAUCCAUGGCGAAGGCAGCUACCUGGACCAACACUGACACUGAGGCACGAAAGCGUGGGGAGCAAACAU
rnacentral:rRNA from 1 species